AUUGAACGCUGGCGGCAUGCUUUACACAUGCAAGUCGAACGGUAACAGGUUAAGCUGACGAGUGGCGAACGGGUGAGUAAUGCAUCGGAACGUGCCCGAUCGUGGGGGAUAACGCAGCGAAAGCCGCGCUAAUACCGCAUACGAUCUGACGAUGAAAGCGGGGGACCGUAAGGCGUCGUGCGAUCGGAGCGGCCGAUGUCAGAUGAGGUAGUUGGUGGGGUAAGGGCGCACCAAGCCAACGAUCUGUAGCUGGUCUGAGGGGACGACCAGCCACACUGGGACUGGGACACGGCCCAGACUCCUACGGGAGGCAGCAGUGGGGAAUUUUGGACAAUGGGCGAAAGCCUGAUCCAGCAAUGCCGCGUGUGUGAAGAAGGUCUUCGGAUUGUAAAGCACUUUAAGUUGGGAGGAAGGGUUGUACGUUAAUACCGUGCAAUUUUGACGUUACCGACAGAAUAAGCACCGGCUAACUCUGUGCCAGCAGCCGCGGUAA
rnacentral:rRNA from 1 species